AAAAGCCAGGAAAUACCAAGUGUUGGCCAAGAUGAAGAGCAGCAGAAGCUCUCAGGCUUUGCUGGUUGGAACGUCACUUGAUGCAACUUUUUGGAAAGCAGGCUUCAUAUACAGGCGGGCUCUCCCAUCAUGCUCCAAAAUGGCUCCAGAGUGCAUGGCCUUUUCAAACACAGUGGAAUCUAUCAAAGGAUUCAUUGGGUCUCAUUGACUCUUGUUGGGUUACAUGAAACACCUGAACCAACCAUAGUGCUCAGCACCAGGAAGUGGUGGUUGUCUUAGAUCUCUGUCUGGACAUAGCACUGAGUGGAAUCAUGACAUGGAACUUCAAUGACUAGGAGAAACGUUGAUGUUGAAUAGCCAAAACUCUGUGCACCCUACAUCUCUCUUCUCUAAUGUAUGAGGAAGAACUGUUCAAUUUUUUGUACCUAUGGAUUACCCGGGGAUCCUAUUAAAGAAUCUGAUGAAUUAGGUCUGGA